rnacentral:rRNA from 1 species
CAGCCGCCGCGGGAAUACGAAGGGGGCUAGCGUUGUUCGGAAUUACUGGGCGUAAAGGGCGCGUAGGCGGCCAUUCAAGUUAGAUGUGAAAGCCCUGGGCUCAACCUAGGAAUUGCAUUUGAUACUGUUUGGCUUGAGUUCGGGAGAGGUGAGUGGAAUUCCCAGUGUAGAGGUGAAAUUCGUAGAUAUUGGGAAGAACACCAGUGGCGAAGGCGGCUCACUGGACCGACACUGACGCUGAGGCGCGAAAGCGUGGGGAGCAAACAGGAUUAGAUACCCGCGUAGUCCCUGUCUCUUAUAC